UGCCAGCCGCCGCGGUAAGACGGAGGGUCCUAGCGUUGUUCGGAAUGACUGGGCGUAAAGGGUACGUAGGCGGUUUGGUCAGUUAGAUGUGAAAGCCCAGGGCUCAACCUUGGAACUGCAUUUAAUACUGCCAAACUUGAGAUCGGAAGAGGAAAGCGGAAUUCCUGGUGUAGAGGUGAAAUUCGUAGAUAUCAGGAGGAACACCGAUGGCGAAGGCAUCUCUCUGGGCCGAUAUUGACGCUGAGGCGCGAAGGCGUGGGUAGCGAAUGGGAUUAGAUA
rnacentral:rRNA from 1 species